rnacentral:rRNA from 1 species
UGCGUAGGCGGGCUAAUAAGUCAGUGGUGAAAUCUCUCGGCUCAACCGGGAAACUGCCAUUGAUACUGUUAGUCUUGAGUUCGGUUGAGGUAGGCGGAAUGUGUAAUGUAGCGGUGAAAUGCUUAGAUAUUACACAGAACACCAAUUGCGUAGGCAGCUUACUAGACCGACACUGACGCUGAGGCACGAAAGCGUGGGGAGCGAACAGGAUUAGAUACCCUGGUGGUCC